rnacentral:tRNA from 3 species
AGUCCCGUAGGGUAGCGGUCAAUCCUUCAGGCCUUUGGAGCCUGGGACCCCGGUUCAAAUCCGGGCGGGACUA